UUCACCUUUUCCAUGCAGCCUUGGGAGCUGGAAUUGCUCACUCUCCUUCCCUCCCGCGCCACACAACAUCAGGGGACAUUUAAAAAGUAGGAGGGAAGGAAUGCAGCACCAGCAACCUGAGCGACAGAGAGAGUUUACUUGCUUUGGAAUGCAUCAGCGGAUUCAACUGUGAGAAGCAUCGUGUGAGUCUGGGACAGUAUAAAUCUGUGAUGGUUCAUUCACACAACCAUACGGUGCUGCAUUAGGAACAGACACUUGUGAACGAGUCAGACACCAAGAUCCCGUUUAGCGGUAGCGUGAACUUGGAAGUCACAAGAAGGAGUAGUAUGCCACUGCCCUGCUUUUGAAGAGGCUGCACAUUCCACGACUAAAGAGUUCAGCACCAGAUGCCGCAUCAGAUAAGUGUUGUCCUCUUGUACUCUGUACAAUCUUUCUAAUUUUCUUGAUGUCGGUGUAGAUGUUUGCAGCACCUCUCAUGCCAGCUGGGCUGCCUUUGUAAUCACAGGCAGCAUGGGAAGUGCUACUGGGUGCAUCACCCUUGCCUUAGCCAUCAUAUUAUAAACUGGGUAUUUAAGAUCUACUUUGGGUUGCUUCAGUUCCAACCCCAGAGCCUCAGCCAUUUCUCUUAUUUGUGCAUGAUAGGCUUUCAGCUCUUCUGAGGGCGACAAGGAAGUCUUAGGUGGCGCCUCUGCUGGUGGAUCUGGAUCAUCACCCCCUCCAUAAUCCGUUUCCGAUGAAUCUGUAGUCUAUCUCCUUCAUCUUCAUUCUCAUCUUCUGGGGGACGGCAACAACUUCCUGCUCUAACUCCAGGGUGCAAGGAGCCACCACAACCCCAGACACCGGCCGUGUCCCACAGAACUCCAGGGCAUACCCCAGAUGUAUGAUUGUGAGGACCCACUGGUUUGUAGUCACUUUGUCCCAGCUUGCCAAGAAU